GACGUAGGGCGCGAGCGUUGUCCGGAUUUAUUGGGCGUAAAGAGCUCGUAGGUGGUUUGUCGCGUUGUUCGUGAAAACCGGGGGCUUAACCCUCGGCGUGCGGGCGAUACGGGCAGACUUGAGUACUGCAGGGGAGACUGGAAUUCCUGGUGUAGCGGUGGAAUGCGCAGAUAUCAGGAGGAACACCGGUGGCGAAGGCGGGACUCUGGGCAGUAACUGACGCUGAGGAGCGAAAGCGUGGGGAGCGAACAGG
rnacentral:rRNA from 1 species